rnacentral:tRNA from 1 species
UGGUCUAGUGCUUAUGGUGUUUGGCUCCCGGCCAAAAGGUUCUGGGUUCGAACCCCAACACCU